rnacentral:misc_RNA from 1 species
GUAGGUGAACCUGCGGAAGGAUCAUUAACACGUAUUUUACGUUCCACACCAUGUGCUCAAGUUCCUUGUGCUGAGAAAAUGUCGAUUCACCGGCGUGACGUAUGUGCUUUUGUGUUUUGCAAGUCGAAGGCCUCGGUGCGGCCCCUCCCCGGCAACGGGGUCAAAUGUGGGUACAUUGGCUUCGACUUGUUAGACAUUUGAAAGCAGCGGGACCACAGGACACAUGAGAGGACUUCUUUGAGAAGGUUCAUCCUCUCGUUCUGCGGAUACCGUUUGACGUUGCGGUUGUUCAACCGGGGUGCUCGACACUUGGAACUUUUUCUUAUUUGAACCCCCUCAGUAACCAACAAACCAGUGUAACUAUUGGACUAAUCCAUACUGUUGAUUGUGAGCAGCAAUGCUCCCAUCAAUCUUGUACGGCAACUUAAUACAACUCUUAGCAACGGAUAUCUUGGUUCUC